UACGAAGGGGGCUAGCGUUGCUCGGAAUUACUGGGCGUAAAGCGCACGUAGGCGGCUUUCUAAGUCGGGGGUGAAAUCCUGGAGCUCAACUCCAGAACUGCCUUCGAUACUGGAGAGCUUGAGUCCGGGAGAGGUGAGUGGAACUGCGAGUGUAGAGGUGAAAUUCGUAGAUAUUCGCAAGAACACCAGUGGCGAAGGCGGCUCACUGGCCCGGUACUGACGCUGAGGUGCGAAAGCGUGGAGAGCAAACAGG
rnacentral:rRNA from 1 species